rnacentral:lncRNA from 1 species
CAAACGACAAUUGGGAUUGCCCAGAUGAGGAAGUUAUCAAAGAACAGUAACCCAGAAAUUAAAAUUGGAAAAAGCUGAAAACUUUGUAAGAUUUGAUCGAGACAGAGUGAUCAGAGUUCAUACCAUUUCCAAGAGAGAAAAAAAAAUAGAAGUCACAGCUGCUGCAACUAUUUUCUCUGAGUUCGUCGAGUUUCUGGGAAAUUUAUACUCUUUUAGCCUGGAAAGCCCCAACAAAGCGCCACAACUGACAGCAAAACGAAAUCGUUAGGGUUUCAUCCAAAUUAGCAAAAAAUUCAAAAUAAAACUGAAAUAAAAUCAUUAUAAAAACACACCUUAGCUAAAUAAGAUCGAUUCCACAGUGAUCUGAAGAUAGGCCGCGCCCAAAGGGGUGGAAAUCGGCCAAAAUUCCGGCCACAACCCGGAAAUCCCAGAUGGAAAAAAGCACAAACACUGCGAAUAGAUUCGCAGGAUUGAGAAAAUUUGCAAACGGACGUUGAUAACGGAGACCAGAAAUAUGCAAAGGCUGGAGAAGGAAAAAAGGGAGUGCGAGAGAGAGAGAAGAGAGAUGGAAAACAGGAAUGAUGAUCGACGGGUUGAGACGAUGGGCAAAAUCGCCAUUUUUCUGUGCAAA